rnacentral:lncRNA from 1 species
GAGCAGGGCCUUGUAGCCCUCCUCCUGGCACUACCCAAGGUGUCAACACAAAACCUGCUUCAGAUGAGGCCAUUUUGAUGCUGCUUUGAUGAAGAAACAGCAGUUAAUGAGGCCUGGAGAUGAGUACUGCUGGCUGACAGGCCUUCACCAUGGCCUGGGAUCCUAGGGUGUUCCCAGACACAGUGGGAAUUAAACACACAAAACCUAUGGGCUCAAUGGAGAGAGGUGCUUACAUACAGCUGUGCUCCUGAGGCUGUUCUCAGGGCUGAGCCAUGCUGAAACGGUGUGCGCAGAUGUGAGGCCAACAGCAGAGGCAGAAAGGCUUUGUCAACACCAGCAAAUCACUGAUUCUACCUCUGCAAGGUCAGCUUCUGAAGGCAACGUGUCUAAGACCACGGCUCCACAACCGGAGUUCUUUGACAUACAAAUGGAUGUGCGGAGUUGGAGCAGAGGUGCAUCUAGUGAAGUAACCAAUCUCCUAAUGCAUGCUUAGGAAAGAGAAAAAGAACAAGCUUCCUCUACUAAUAAUCCACACACCUGCACUUGGCCAGGCUACUGACAGAAAUGACCAGUGCCAUUGUGAACUUUGGUGUUUCCUGAUCUGAAGUGUUUAUGUAGAAGCUAGAACAAAUGCCUAAACCUGUGGGACUAACAUGUCAUGUCAAACAUUGCAUGGCUUUUUUAGCUUUCCCUUCCUAUAUUCCAUUCCUUGCUAUGUUAUACUUCCAAGUUGUCUAGAGCAGAAAUCUUUUCUCAUAUCAUAGCCCUUCAGCCAAAAAUAAUAAAAUAUAAUGUACAAGAAUAAUUAAGAUGCA